UGAGUAACGCGUGGGUAGCCUGCUCAUACAGGGGGAGUAACAGUUAGAAAUGACUGCUAACACCGCAUAAUAUAGCGAAACCGCAUGAUUUUGCUAUCAAAUAUUUAUAGGUAUGAGAUGGGCCCGCGUCUGAUUAGCUAGUUGGUGGGGUAAAAGGACCUACCAAGGCGACGAUCAGUAGCCGGCUUGAGAGAGUGACCGGCCACAUUGGGACUGAGACACGGCCCAAACUCCUACGGGAGGCAGCAGUGGGGAAUAUUGGACAAUGGGGGAAACCCUGAUCCAGCCGACGCCGCGUGAGUGAAGAAGUAUUUCGGUAUGUAAAGCUCUAUCAGCAGGGAAGAUAAUGACAGUACCUGACUAAGAAGCCCCGGCUAACUACGUGCCAGCCGCGGC
rnacentral:rRNA from 1 species